UACGUAGGGUCCGAGCGUUAAUCGGAAUUACUGGGCGUAAAGCGUGCGCAGGCGGUUUUGUAAGCCAGAUGUGAAAUCCCCGGGCUUAACCUGGGAACUGCAUUUGGGACUGCAAGGCUUGAGUACAGCAGAGGGGGGUAGAAUUCCAGGUGUAGCGGUGAAAUGCGUAGAUAUCUGGAGGAAUACCGGUGGCGAAGGCGGCAUCCUGGACCGGCAUUGACGCUGAGGAGCGAAAGCUAGGGGAGCAAACGGG
rnacentral:rRNA from 1 species